CAGUCGCCACGGUAAAACGGAGGGGGCUAGCGUUGUUCGGAAUUACUGGGCGUAAAGCGCACGUAGGCGGCUGUGUAAGUCAGAGGUGAAAGCCCGUGGCUCAACCCCGGAAUAGCCUUUGAGACUGCAUAGCUUGAACACGGGAGAGGUGAGUGGAAUUCCGAGUGUAGAGGUGAAAUUCGUAGAUAUUCGGAAGAACACCAGUGGCGAAGGCGGCUCACUGGACCGUUGUUGACGCUGAGGUGCGAAAGCGUGGGGAGCAAACAGGAUUAGAUACCCCAGUAGUCCCUGUCUCUUAUAC
rnacentral:rRNA from 1 species